GAUGAACGCUGGCGGCGUGCCUAAUACAUGCAAGUCGAGCGGUAAGGCCUCUUCGGAGGUACACGAGCGGCGGACGGCUGAGUAACACGUAGGAACAUACCCCAAAGUGAGGGAUAACUGCUCGAAAGAGUAGCUAAUACCGCAUGUGGUCUUCGGAUUAAAGCUUCGGCGCUUUGGGAAUGGCCUGCGUCUGAUUAGCUAGAUGGUGAGGUAAUGGCUCACCAUGGCGACGAUCAGUAGCUGGUCUGAGAGGAUGAUCAGCCAGACUGGGACUGAGACACGGCCCAGACUCCUACGGGAGGCAGCAGUAGGGAAUUUUCCACAAUGGGCGAAAGCCUGAUGGAGCAACGCCGCGUGCAGGAUGAAUGCCUUCGGGUUGUAAACUGCUUUUAUAUGUGACGAAUAUGACGGUAGCAUAUGAAUAAGGAUCGGCUAACUCCGUGCCAGCCGCCGCGGUAA
rnacentral:rRNA from 1 species